AUUUCUCGGCCUUUUGGCUAAGAUCAAGUGUGACAUCCGUUCUUAUCAUUUAAUAUUUAAUACCCGGGGCCAUUGAUCUGCAUGAUGUUAAAUUAAUUUUUCAAGGGAGAGUGGCUCAUAACGGCAGCUUACUUCUGCGGCCUCUCGCUCGUUGCCCAUUGUGAUGCACUACUGCACGGGCCUGACGAACCUCUC